rnacentral:rRNA from 1 species
GACAGAGGGUGCAAACGUUGCUCGGAAUCACUGGGCGUAAAGGGCGUGUAGGCGGACGUGUAAGUCGGGCGUGAAAUCCCUGGGCUCAACCCAGGAACUGCACUCGAAACUGCGCGUCUUGAGUACCGGAGAGGAAGGUGGAAUUCCUGGUGUAGAGGUGAAAUUCGUAGAUAUCAGGAGGAACACCAGUGGCGAAGGCGGCCUUCUGGACGGUAACUGACGCUGAGACGCGAAAGCGUGGGGAGCAAACAGG